UAAAUGUGCAAUAUAGUGACACAUAAAACAAUGAACAAUAAUACAAAAUGACAUGAAUUAAAUCAGACUUACAAAUACAGAUGGGGCAGCUGACACAGCAUAAAACAUGAAGUUAUAAAUAAACAAAAGUGAAAUUAUUUUUUCACUGGCCUAUAUUCCGUUCACAUUACAUCACUGUUGUUUGAUUUGAGCUUAAACUUUCCUCCUGCUUCGUGCAGACGGUGAAGAUGCGUCCUCAGUUUGUGGGGACCUGGCUGUUCCAUUGUCACGUGACCGAUCAUCUGAAGGGGGGGAUGGAGGCUCUCUACACCGUCAGGGAAAAGGAAAAGAAGAAAGGCAUUUUUGGAUAAACCGCAGACAAACCGCUACAGAGAAUUCACCCAAAUGAGUUUUAUAUAUAAAUGCAUUUGUAAUUAAAGUUCAUUUGAUUUCCACCUUGAUACUAAUAAAACAUACAACUUUUCCUUUC